UGCCACGAAUUCUGCGACGACCGCGAAUAAUCCUAUGUUUAGGGUUGCCGUGUGCGAAGGCUGGGUGGCAAGGGUUUUGUUGCCGUGUCCGAAGGAAGGCCGGUGCGAAGGGUCUCUCUCCGGUGGUUGUAGAUCCGGCGGCUCGGGUGCGAAGGAAGGUUGGGUGCCAAGGGUAUUUAUCUUUCUCUCUUCGGUGGUUGUAGAUCCGGCGGCUCGGGUGCGAAGGAAGGUUGGGUGCCAAGGGUAUUUGUCUUUCUCUCUCUUCGGUGGUUGUAGAUCCGGCGGCUCGGGUGCGAAGGAAGGUUGGGUGGGAAGGGUAUUUCUCUUUCUCUCUCCGGUGGUUGUAGAUCCGACGGCUGGGCCGCCGGAUCUAUGACCUAGAGGCCAGAUCUCUCGCUCCGGUGUCUGCUAGAGGGCAGAUCCAGCGCGCAGCCUGGUGUAGCCUGCACAGCUCCGGCGUGCUAGAGGGCAGAUCCGGCGGUCUACCUUUCGCAGCUUGGUCCAGCCGAGCAGAUCCAGCGGCCCAGCCGCCGGAUGUGUGGCCUGCGCAGCCCUAUGUGGCCGUGCAGAUCCGGCGGGCCACUGGAUCUGCCGUGUGCAGCCUGGUCCAGCCGGGGAGAUCUGGCGGCCUGGUCUUCAUAGCCCUAUGAGGUUCCUUAUGUAGAGGAUCCAAAUACUCCGAAGAAACGUUUUGUAAGUUUUUCAGGUUUUCUUCUAUCUAUUUAUAAAUGACUUUCCUUCUUUUCAAGGCAACGACUGGACUCCUCAUGCUGAUUUGGUGCAGUAGAUUUUGAUAAAA